AUACAAUUUACACUUAAAGUACACUCAAAUAGAUGUUAAGUUGAAGUUAAUACAUAAUUGAGUACACUUAACUAUACUUGGAUUUGACGAACAUAGUACAAAAUAUAGAAAAUAUACUUAGUACACUUUUUUAAAGUAUAUUUUUAAUAGAUUUUUUUUUCACCUAGGUCAUUUUUGUCUUUAAAGUGUUUGAAUUUAAAUCACACACAGUAAAACAUUAAGAGUAUACGCGGUAACUUACACAACAGUAAACACGAGGGUUAACAAUACGCGAAGUAAACGUUACAUGCAUAACGGGCUGUUAAAAGAAUUAAUUCGAUGUUUACAUUUUUUAAAACAAAACUUUAAAGAAGCCAAGAUGAGAUGUGAUUUGCUUAAAAGCAAAACACCAGUAACUCAUGUGUUGUAAAUGUAAGCAGCUAGAAAGUGUUUCUCUGCUAUUUUAAAUUAUAUCUUCUGUUGUUUAAAACUAAAAGCUCAUUGCUUUAGUUCUGGUAGAUGCUGCUUAUUUUGCAAGCCGGUUUUUGAUUUGUAACAAAGCCAGCUUCACUUUGACAUAACCUAUAUGCUAUUGUAAAGAAGCUUGGAGUCAUAAUAUAUUUUAACUAAUUAGUAGUUAAAUAGUAAAUAGAUGUGUUAUGAUGUAUGUGAUUUGAUUUUUAAUUCUGUGUUUGCCAGAGAAAUAUAAUGAUGUACAGUGAAAGCUAAAACAUCAGACUGAUCCAAACACUGAAGAAAUUGGUCUGACUGCAAUCUGGCCAAAAUGAUGAAAUAUAAUGACUUAACAGUGAAAGCUAAAACAUCAGACUGAUCCACACACUGAAGAAAUUGGUGUGACUGCAAUCUGGCCAAAAUGAUACAACUAUAAUGAAGUAACCUACUAUUAUAGAGCUGCAGAACGACACAGAGACUCUGAGGACAUCAACACAGAAAAUGAAGGCUCCAAAGAGAUGUCUGUCCAGAUGAGGGUGCAUCAACGUUACCUUUGCUGACAAGUAUAUGCUUUACAAUGUAAAACCUAACAGUUACUUAACUCAAACCAUUUAAGGAAACUGGUUGCCUUAAACCAUUUAAGUUUUAAAACACAUACAUUUGAGUACUGUGAACUUGAGUCAUAUGCAAUUAUGCACUUAUAUUCAAGUAGUGUGAACUGCAUAUCUGCAUAUGACUCAAUUUGUUUCACAGUACUCAAAUGUAUGAGGCUGUUUACACUUGGCAUUAACAUGCAUUUUCAUUGAUCGGAUCACAAGUGGACGACAUUAAUGCCAGGUGUAAACGGUGUUCAAAACGCUUUGAGCUCGUCCACUUUCAACCACAUUCAGAGGUAGUCGAAACCCCUUUCGAUCGGAUUGCUUUUGUAGUGUAAACGCACAUGUGGUUGAAUGUGUUUGCGUCGCGCUGCUCUUUUUAAAAAAGGCAGUGCGUCGCGCCUUGCGUUUCCAAGCGUUUAAAACGCGUUUGGUGUGAUUAGCACCUUAGUUCGCCCAAAAAUGAAAAUGAUGUCAUUAAUGACUCACCCUCAUGUCGUUCCAAACUUGUAAGACCUCCGUUCAUCUUCGGAACACAGUUUAAGAUGUUUUAUAUUUAGUCCGAGAGCUUGCUGACCCUUCAUUGAAAAUCUAUGUACGGUUUACUAUCAAUGUCCAGAAAGGUAAUAAAAACAUCAUCAAAGUAGUCCAUGCAACAUCAGUGGGUCAGUUAGAAUGUGUGACUUUAUUCAGCAUUGUCUUCUCUUCCGGUUCUGUUGUGACUGCAGUGACAUGGCUGACGUGUUAUCCUCAGACAUGUUUGCAAAGUGGGUUUUUUUUUCAAACUUACAGCGUGCGUUUCCCUCGGACUGUAAAUGAAGCUUACGGUACACACAAAAAGCUGAGGGUGAGUCAUUAUUUUCAUUUUUGGGUGAACUAUCCCUUUAAAUCUAAAGUAUUUAUGUACGUGAGUAACGCGACUCUGCACAUCUUUAAAUGAUUUUGUGGAGUUCAGUGAUCCCCAUUAGCGUUCGUUGCUACUCGGGUUUGAGUACUGUGAACUUGAGUCAUAUGCAAUUAUGCACUUAUAUUCAAGUAGUGUGAACUGCAUAUCUGCAUAUGACUCAAUUUGUUUCACAGUACUCAAAUGUAUGAGGCUGUUAACACUUGGCAUUAACAUGCAUUUUCAUUGAUCGGAUCACAAGUGGACGACAUUAAUGCCAGGUGUAAACGGUGUUCAAAACGCUUUGAGCUCGUCCACUUUCAACCACAUUCAGAGAUAGUCGAAACCCCUUUCGAUCGGAUUGCUUUUGUAGUGUAAACGCACAUGUGGUUGAAUGUGUUCGAACAGCCACACGUGACCGCCUUUUCUUCGCCCCCAUUUAUCUAAUCUGAGGUACUAAACACAAGUAUUACGUCUUUUCUGACUUCUGGCGUGAACAGCGCUAUUUUUGGCCUUUCAAUGAUAAAACUAAAGCUGCUGGUCUCUGUAGUUUCGUUUUGAAAGCGUGUGAAAGUGAUACUAUUACAUCAAUUGCGCUGAAAAUUCAGAUAAAUUUAUAACAUAUAAACAUACAAAACACAUUGCAGCAUGUUUACUUGCAGUGCUAAACCAGCAGUGUACUCCGACAUAAUUAGUUUGCGUCCAUAUAACUCAUAAUUACUCCCGCUCGCAUUUGAAUGACAGCAGAGGGAUUCGCCCACCGUCUCACAGACCACCGUCUCACAGUAUUCAGGACAGAAGCGGUCGAAUGUGGACAGAAGAGAUGAAUUUAAAUACCAGGUGUAAACGUGAUGUGUCUCUCUCGUCCACUUGUGAUCCAAUCGAUGAAAACACAUCUUAAUACCAAGUGUAAACAGUCCCUAUGUGUUUUAAAACUGAAAUGGUUUAAUACAGUGUUUCCCAAUCCUGGUCCUCGAGGCCCCCCUCCCUUAUUCAACACACCUGAUUUACCUCAUCAGCUUGUUAGGGAGACAUGUUUACCAAUUUGAAAGGAGGCGGAUAAGUUAAAUUAGGUGUUUUAAAUAAAUAAGGAGACAUCUAAAACUGUCUGGGAGGGGGGCUUCGAGGACCAGGAUUGGGAAGCACUAGUUUAAUGCAAACGGUUUCCUUAAAUGGUUUGAGUUGAGUUAACUUUUAGGUUGUACAGUGAGAAAUGUUUGAAUAAUUCCAAGACAGAGCUCUGCAAUUGAAUCUACACUGCAAAAAAUCACUUUCUAACUUAGUAUUUUCAUCUUGUUUUCAGUAGAAAAACUAAAAAUUCUUAAAUCAAGAUGUAGUUUCUUGAUGAGCAAAAUUACAUAAGUAAAAUGUCUAGUUUUAAGACAAAAAUUUACAAUUUAAGUAGAUUUAUGCCUAAAACAAACAAAAAUAUCUGACAAUGGGGUCAGAAAAUUUAGCUUGAAUUAAGUUUUUAAGAAAAAAGAAAAACUUAUUUUAUGAUUUCUUUUUUCACACCAUUGGCAGAUAUUUUUGCUUGUUUUAAGCAUUCAAAUUCACAAAUGUAUUAUUAUUAUUUUUUUUAUAAAAAACUAGACUUAUUUUCUUAAUUUCUGUUAAUCAAGGAAAAGCAUUUUAAUCUAAAUAAUAUUUCUAUUAAAAACAAGACAAAAAUACUAAGUAAGAGUCAUUUGUUGCAGUGUAGGACUGAUUUCUUAAAGCAAGAUCAAUAUUUGUUGUUCAUUUUAUUUAGAUCAUUUACUACAUUACAGUGGCGGCUGUGGACUUCUUUUAUUUUGUGAGCAAUCGAUGUGAAGUUCGUCACAACAUGUGUAUAUAGCCCGUCACUUGUGUGGUUCACAAUUUCAAAAUAUGUGUUCUGUGUGUCGAGUGCGUGUAUGUGCAUCACCUGUUUUGACUAAACACGUGAUGCACAUGGUUUACAUGAAGCAACAAACACAUUUUAAAAACACAAGCAACACACAACACUCCGAACACUUAUUUUGAAUUUGCACCCCUCGGAUGAGCAGUCAUGAGCCGCCACUGCUACAUUACAUUGUACUGCUUUGAAUGUAGAUUUCAUUGUUGCUUUUAUUUUGUUAUAUUUUACUCUAAUAUUGCUUUCUCUGUCUGUAUAUUUGAGUUAAAUAGUAUUGUUUAUGUAUGCAACUUUUAAUAUUUGUGUAUAAUAUUAUUUUGUGAUUGUGACAGUUCAGUUUUUUAUUAAAUAAACAUUUCAAACUCAAUUCAAGUUUAUUUUUUAAGGGUUUUGGGGGUUGUAUAGUAGUAUAUAGUGGGGGGGGGGUGUAGUCUAUCUGCAUAGCAGGCAAAUAACCAAUCAAGUCACUACGCUAUGAGGGCUUGGGUUGGGCUUAAUACAAAGUGUAACCAAUGAAAUCAUCUCAACUGGAAAGUUUCAAAUUAGUGUCCCAAGAGUUUUGGGAGGGGUUUUUAAAAGCAACCAAUCAGUGUUGAGAUUAAACACCAAUGGGGAGACUAGGAUUGUGCAAAGGUGUGAAAUUCCAGUACCUCUGUAGGUGUGAAAGUGGCCCCUGACAAAAUCUUCAAUGGGAUUACUUGCCAUGGCAACAAACGGCUACAUAUACCACGGGGAUAUCCCCUCAGCAAGAUACAUCCGAAUUGGUAUCAUUACAGGAGUUUCCUAACUUGGUGGAAUUAGAAGUUUACCCUCAGUGGAACUAGUAGAUACUUCCGAAAAUCAGUGGUGUUUACAGAAGUUUCCAAGUACGGAUACACCUCUUUUCAUGCAGUGUUACCCUGAGUGGAACUAGUAGAUACUUCCGAAAAUCAGUGGUGUAUACAGGAGUUUCCACCUCUUUUAAUGUGAGAUACAGGCCAGUGGCCAAACAAAUCUAAGCCCACAUGUGGGCAAAUCUGCCAUCUUUUGAGUCUCGCAGCCCCUCCUGAG